rnacentral:tRNA from 1 species
AAAGGUAUACUCAGUGGUUAGAGUAUAUGCUUAGCAUGCACAAGGUCCUGGGUUCAAUCCCCAGUACCUCCA